UACAGGGGGGGCAAGCGUUGUUCGGAAUUACUGGGCGUAAAGGGCUCGUAGGCGGCCAACUAAGUCACACGUGAAAUCCCCAGGCUUAACCUGGGAACUGCGUGUGAUACUGGAUGGCUUGAAUUCGGGAGAUGGAUGCAGAAUUCCAGGUGUAGCGGUGAAAUGCGUAGAUAUCUGGAGGAAUACCGGUGGCGAAGGCGGCAUCCUGGACCGACAUUGACGCUGAUGAGCGAAAGCUAGGGGAGCAAACGGG
rnacentral:rRNA from 1 species